rnacentral:rRNA from 1 species
UCAGAGUUUUGAUCCUGGCUCAGAUUGAACGCUGGCGGCAUGCCUUACACAUGCAAGUCGAACGGCAGCACGGGUGCUUGCACCUGGUGGCGAGUGGCGAACGGGUGAGUAAUACAUCGGAACAUGUCCUGUAGUGGGGGAUAGCCCGGCGAAAGCCGGAUUAAUACCGCAUACGAUCUACGGAUGAAAGCGGGGGACCUUCGGGCCUCGCGCUAUAGGGUUGGCCGAUGGCUGAUUAGCUAGUUGGUGGGGUAAAGGCCUACCAAGGCGACGAUCAGUAGCUGGUCUGAGAGGACGACCAGCCACACUGGGACUGAGACACGGCCCAGACUCCUACGGGAGGCAGCAGUGGGGAAUUUUGGACAAUGGGCGAAAGCCUGAUCCAGCAAUGCCGCGUGUGUGAAGAAGGCCUUCGGGUUGUAAAGCACUUUUGUCCUGGAAAGAAAUCCUUGGCUCUAAUACAGUCGGGGGAUGACGGUACCGGAAG